GAUGAACGCUAGCGGGAGGCCUAACACAUGCAAGCCGAGCGGUAGAGAUCUUUCGGGAUCUUGAGAGCGGCGUACGGGUGCGGAACACGUGUGCAACCUGCCUUUAUCAGGGGGAUAGCCUUUCGAAAGGAAGAUUAAUACCCCAUAAUAUUUAGAAUGGCAUCAUUUUAAAUUGAAAACUCCGGUGGAUAGAGAUGGGCACGCGCAAGAUUAGAUAGUUGGUGAGGUAACGGCUCACCAAGUCUGCGAUCUUUAGGGGGCCUGAGAGGGUGAUCCCCCACACUGGUACUGAGACACGGACCAGACUCCUACGGGAGGCAGCAGUGAGGAAUAUUGGACAAUGGGUGCGAGCCUGAUCCAGCCAUCCCGCGUGAAGGAUGACGGCCCUAUGGGUUGUAAACUUCUUUUGUACAGGGAUAAACCUAGAUACGUGUAUCUAGCUGAAGGUACUGUACGAAUAAGCACCGGCUAACUCCGUGCCAGCAGCCGCGGUAAUACGGAGGGUGCAAGCGUUAUCCGGAUUUAUUGGGUUUAAAGGGUCCGUAGGCGGAUCUGUAAGUCAGUGGUGAAAUCUCACAGCUUAACUGUGAAACUGCCAUUGAUACUGCAGGUCUUGAGUGUUGUUGAAGUAGCUGGAAUAAGUAGUGUAGCGGUGAAAUGCAUAGAUAUUACUUAGAACACCAAUUGCGAAGGCAGGUUACUAAGCAACAACUGACGCUGAUGGACGAAAGCGUGGGGAGCGAACAGGAUUAGAUACCCUGGUAGUCCACGCCGUAAACGAUGCUAACUCGUUUUUGGGAUGCAAGUUUCAGAGACUAAGCGAAAGUGAUAAGUUGGCCACCUGGGGAGUACGUUCGCAAGAAUGAAACUCAAAGGAAUUGACGGGGGCCCGCACAAGCGGUGGGUUAUGUGGUUUAAUUCGAUGAUACGCGAGGAACCUUACCAAGGCUUAAAUGGAAAUGACAGGUUUAGAAAUAGACUUUUCUUCGGACAUUUUUCAAGGUGCUGCAUGGUUGUCGUCAGCUCGUGCCGUGAGGUGUUAGGUUAAGUCCUGCAACGAGCGCAACCCCUGUCACUAGUUGCCAUCAUUCAGUUGGGGACUCUAGUGAGACUGCCUACGCAAGUAGAGAGGAAGGUGGGGAUGACGUCAAAUCAUCACGGCCCUUACGCCUUGGGCCACACACGUAAUACAAUGGCCGGUACAGAGGGCAGCUACACAGCGAUGUGAUGCAAAUCUCGAAAGCCGGUCUCAGUUCGGAUUGGAGUCUGCAACUCGACUCUAUGAAGCUGGAAUCGCUAGUAAUCGCGCAUCAGCCAUGGCGCGGUGAAUACGUUCCCGGGCCU
rnacentral:rRNA from 1 species